AACGAACGCUGGCGGCACGUUUUAAGCAUGCAAGUCGAACGGCAGUGGGGGCAACCCCAUGAGAGUGGCGAACGGGUGAGUAACACGUAGGUGAUCUGCCUUUGGGUUGGGGAUAGCUUGUGGAAACACAGGGUAAUACCGAAUGAGCUGACGAGGCUUUGGCCAUGUUAGUAAAGGUGCUACGGCACCGCCUAGAGAGGAGCCUGCGGCUGAUUAGCUAGUUGGUGGGGUAAAGGCCUACCAAGGCGACGACCAGUAGCCGGCCUGAGAGGGUGUACGGCCACACUGGAACUGAGACACAGUCCAGACUCCUACGGGAGGCAGCAGCUAAGAAUCUUCCGCAAUGGGCGAAAGCCUGACGGAGCGAUGCCGCGUGAUCGAUGAAGGUCGAGAGAUUGUAAAGAUCUUUUCCAACUGAGGAAUAAGUGGACCAGGGAAUGGGUUCAUGAUGACGUUGAGUUGGGAAUAAGCCCCGGCUAAUUACGUGCCAGCAGCCGCAGUAA
rnacentral:rRNA from 1 species